rnacentral:rRNA from 1 species
UACGUAGGGGGCUAGCGUUGUCCGGAAUCAUUGGGCGUAAAGCGCGUGUAGGCGGUCUCGCAAGUCGGGUGUGAAAGCCCCGGGCUCAACCCGGGAAGUGCAUUCGAUACUGCGAGGCUAGAGUCCCGGAGAGGAUGGUGGAACUCUCGGUGUAGAGGUGAAAUUCGUAGAUAUCGAGAAGAACACCGGUGGCGAAGGCGGCCAUCUGGACGGUGACUGACGCUGAGACGCGAAAGCGUGGGGAGCAAACAGG